AGCUCUGUUCCUGCCCAGUACUGGGACCAUGAGUGUCAUUUUGAAAUUUGUCAAAAGGUUUGAGCUUGUAUGUGGGACUGGUGCUGGAAUAUGCCAAAGAACUGCUCCUAUUCGGUGUGACUGAGGCUUCAAAACACCAAAAACUGUGUGGGAACUGCUUUUGAGGCCUCGAGUCUGAGCCCCCUGGUCUUGUACACAAAACUCCUGCUUGUUCCCUGCUGAGUAAAUAAUUUCUCCAUGAGAAGAGUCUGUGGAGGGCCAUGCCAAGAUUUUCUGUGCAAGGAAAAAUUACUUUAGAGUGGAUGAGCCUGAUGUCUGUGCUGUGUCCCUCCAUUACUGCACCUUCCAUGGAAUUAAAUGGAACAAAAUGGAGCAAUUAAUGGACAAAAAGGAAAAGCUCAUCAUGGAUGUGUGCUACGGAAUAGUAAAAGCUAUGAGGACUUUAUAUGGGAGGGAAAAAAUAUGGAUUUAUAGCAAAUAAAGGGUUUCAGGGAGGUCCCAGAGUAAAGAGCCCUUAUGAUGUGCCACAGCCCCAACACACCUCUAAUUAGGAUGAAUUUCCCUUCUGCUGGAGUUAAUGCAUUAUGUAUUGAAAUAAUUUGUGUUCAUUUGUAGCAAAUAAUUAUUUAAAAAUGUUAUCAUUCAUUUGUAUUGUUUGAGUUCUCUAUUAAUUCUAUAAAUAAUUGUUCAAAAGA